rnacentral:rRNA from 1 species
AGACGUCUACAUUAGAUACCCCUGUAGUCCCAGCCGUAAACUAUGCGCGUUAGGUGUAUCGGUGUCCACGAGUCACCGAGGUGCCGAAGGGAAACCGUGAAACGUGCCGCCUGGGAAGUACGGUCGCAAGGCUGAAACUUAAAGGAAUUGGCGGGGAGCACCACAACGGGUGGAGCCUGCGGUUUAAUUGGACUCAACGCCGGGAAGCUCACCGGAUAAGACAGCGGAAUGAUUGCCGGGCUGAAGACUCUGCAUGACUAGCUG